GACAACAGCCGCCGCGGUAAAACGUAGGUGGCAAGCGUUGUCCGGAAUUAUUGGGCGUAAAGGGCUCGCAGGCGGUUUCUUAAGUCUGAUGUGAAAGCCCCCGGCUCAACCGGGGAGGGUCAUUGGAAACUGGGAAACUUGAGUGCAGAAGAGGAGAGUGGAAUUCCACGUGUAGCGGUGAAAUGCGUAGAGAUGUGGAGGAACACCAGUGGCGAAGGCGACUCUCUGGUCUGUAACUGACGCUGAGGAGCGAAAGCGUGGGGAGCGAACAGGAUUAGAUACCCCAGUAGUCCCUGUCUCUUAUAC
rnacentral:rRNA from 1 species